rnacentral:rRNA from 1 species
GAUGAACGCUAGCUACAGGCUUAACACAUGCAAGUCGAGGGGAAACGACAUCGAAAGCUUGCCUUUGAUGGGCGUCGACCGGCGCACGGGUGAGUAACGCGUAUCCAACCUGCCCACCACUUGGGGAUAACCUUGCGAAAGUAAGACUAAUACCCAAUGACGUCUCUAGAAGACAUCUGAAAGAGAUUAAAGAUUUAUCGGUGAUGGAUGGGGAUGCGUCUGAUUAGCUUGUUGGCGGGGUAACGGCCCACCAAGGCGACGAUCAGUAGGGGUUCUGAGAGGAAGGUCCCCCACAUUGGAACUGAGACACGGUCCAAACUCCUACGGGAGGCAGCAGUGAGGAAUAUUGGUCAAUGGACGAGAGUCUGAACCAGCCAAGUAGCGUGCAGGAUGACGGCCCUAUGGGUUGUAAACUGCUUUUAUAAGGGAAUAAAGUGAGUCUCGUGAGACUUUUUGCAUGUACCUUAUGAAUAAGGACCGGCUAAUUCCGUG